GACAGAGGGUGCAAACGUUGUUCGGAAUUACUGGGCGUAAAGCGCGUGUAGGCGGCCGGGCAUGUCGGAUGUGAAAUCCCGUGGCUCAACCACGGAAGUGCACCCGAAACUGCCCAGCUUGAGUCUCGGAGAGGAAGGCGGAAUGCUUGGUGUAGAGGUGAAAUUCGUAGAUAUCAAGCGGAACACCGGUGGCGAAGGCGGCCUGCUGGGCGGCGACUGACGCUGAGGCGCGACAGCGUGGGGAGCAAACAGG
rnacentral:rRNA from 1 species